GAGACUCUGUGCGCGUGCAUAUCAAUAAGCGGAGGAAAAGAAACUAACUAGGAUCCCUUAGUAACGGCGAGUGAAGCGGGAAGAGCUCAAAUUUGAAAUCUUCAAGGUUUUACCUUGACGAAUUGUAGUUUAAAGAAGUGUUUUCUGUUGAAGUUUCGGUAAAAGUUCUUUGGAAUAGGACAUCAUAGAGGGUGAGAAUCCCGUAUUUGACCGUUAUUUUCAGCUGUGUGAUACACUUUCAAAGAGUCGGAUUGUUUGGGAAUGCAGUCCAAAAUGGGUGGUAAAUUUCAUCUAAAGCUAAAUAUUGGCGAGAGACCGAUAGCGAACAAGUACCGUGAGGGAAAGAUGAAAAGAACUUUGAAAAGAGAGUUAAACAGUACGUGAAAUUGUCAAAAGGGAAGCGUUUGACACCAGUGUUGUUUUCUCGAAAAUCAAUUAAAAAUAACUUGAUUUUGUGUUGUAUUGACCUUAAAAGCUUUCUUCACUCUUUUCCUGUUAUUUUUAAUGCACUUUUCGUUUAACAAGUCAACAUCAGUCUCUUUUGUUGUAAAAAGGUCAUUGGAAGGUGGCUUUCUUUUCGGAGAAAGUGUUUAUAGCCUUUGACUCCUGCAAUCGGAGAGACUGAGGUCUGCAGCGUAGAUCCUUUUUUGGAUUAGAUUCAUUUGUGCUAAGUUAUAGCUUUUUAUAGACAACAUGUUGACUAUAUUUAGUCUUGUAACUUACUCGCUUAUGUAAUUUUACCUACGCUUAGGAUGUUGAAGAUGUAGCACAUCAU
rnacentral:rRNA from 1 species